GUGGGAUGCUGCUGUGAAUUGAUAUAAUGUGUCAGUGAGUUACUAGAUAUUCUGUUUUAAUCAUUCGGAGGUAUAAAAUCAAGGACCUUGGAAAAAAAAUAACAAAAAAUAUCCCUAAUCAGAGGAAUUUUUCUUGACUUACUUGAAACACUAUUUGAAAACAUAUAAAAGUUGUUCUGAGAGAAGAAUCUGAGUUUGUCCUUUUUUUUUAAGUGAUGGUGUAAAAAAUAGGCUUGUCAAACUGCACUCCCUUCAAAUCACUCUCUCCAUCUCAAGCAACUUAGUUUAGGUUUGGUUUUUGUUGAUUUUCCUUUGGCUAGUACUGACGGAGUUUCAAAUAUACAAAUGAAUCAUUUCCAUUCAACUUACUGUGUCCAGCUUCUCUCACAUCCCCUCCCCUCACCUGCAAAAGAUUUUUGGCUAUAGCAAGAGAUAGAAGCUACAGAUAUGACAAUUCUCAGCAUGUGGAAACAUGACCUGGCCUUGGGGCCUUGGAGCCUGGAAAUUUCUCUUUUAGCUUUUGUUUAUAUAUAUGUAUGUAUGUAUGUAUGUAUGUAUGUAUGUAUGUAAAUAUGGAUGCAUGCAUUUAUAUGCACACACAUAUAUAAAAGAUGCCAUUACCUACCUCUUAGGAGAGAACUAAGAUCUCUGUUCAAUUCUGCAAAAAAGCAUUUAACAGAUGGCUACCUUCCCAGCAGAGGUAGGUGAAGCUCAGACCUCCCAAAAAUAUAAUUGCUGUAGCUCUGCAUCCCAGUGCUGUGAAAGGAUUCACACUGCAUUUGGCAGGUUCAGAGCUAGUUGAAAUCUCUAUGUGUGCACUGCACCCUUAGUAAAUAUACAAACCUUUUUGGACAGAAGUUUAGAACACAGCUGAAAAGUUUAUAGGAAUAUAAAUGUCAGAUCCACCCUACUUCCCCUUACCACUCUUCCUCUACUUCCCUUCUACAGGAGACAGUCCUCUGUGAACUUCUCCAAAGUGAGCCCUUCCCAUGGACUGCAGUUCUUCAGACACUGUUCUAGUUUUCAUGUCUAUCAUGGAUGGCUAUUCUCUCUGAAACAGAUCAAAAAUCUUAGACUCUUGCUGGCUCCUCACUGCAAAGCACCAAAGGACCAUGUCUCAAAAGCAGUUACCACAGACAAAUUAGGAGAUCUUUCAUACUCAAUGCAGUGUAUGGUAAGAGCUAUUAUGUGACUUCAGGUUUAGAAAGUGGUGAAAGAGGCACCUCACUGAUGGCCCAUAUAGGUUUUACAGGAAGACUCCAGACCUCACAAGACAAAAUCCAGUACGCAAGUACAGAAGAUUUUAGAGUGACAGCAGGAAAACAUAAAGAAGCAGAAACUGGUUUUUUAGCAGAGUAUAGUAGCAAUUGGUACCGACUGCGAGUGCUUGUGACAAAUUGAAUUCUGAACCAACAAAAUUCAUUCACUCUCUGGGCAAGAUAAUCUGGAGACAAAAGUUUGUGAUCUAUCCAAGCACAAAUCAUGAAUUGUUUCGGAAAAACCCAUAAAGAGCAACAAAUGGAAAGUGAAAGAGUACACAGAAAUAAGUUACCAUGAGGAAUUUACUGCUAUUUUUGGGGAAGGUUACUUGUAUUCACCUGCUUGAACAAUGAAUAUUAAUUAUUUAGUUGUCUUUUCUUUUUAUAUAUUUUUAAUCUCUUUUAACACUUAAGAAACAAUGUAUUAUUUCAGUUGCAAAAACACAGUAACUUCAAAUAUAACUGUGAGACUAUU